UACGUAGGGGGCCAGCGUUGUCCGGAAUCAUUGGGCGUAAAGCGCGCGUAGGCGGCCAGAUAAGUCCGGUGUGAAAGUCAAAGGCUCAACCUUUGAAUGCCGCUGGAAACUGUCUGGCUUGAGUCCGGAAGGGGCGAGUGGAAUUCCUGGUGUAGCGGUGGAAUGCGCAGAUAUCAGGAGGAACACCAAUAGCGAAGGCAGCUCGCUGGGACGUUACUGACACUGAGGCGCGAAAGCGUGGGGAGCGAACAGG
rnacentral:rRNA from 1 species